CAGUAGCCGCGGUAAUGCGUAGGGUGCAAGCGUUAAUCGGAAUUACUGGGCGUAAAGCGUGCGCAGGCGGUUUGUUAAGACAGAUGUGAAAUCCCCGGGCUCAACCUGGGAACUGCAUUUGUGACUGGCAAGCUAGAGUGUGGCAGAGGGGGGUGGAGUUCCGCGUGUAGCAGUGAAAUGCGUAGAUAUGCGGAGGAACACCGAUGGCGAAGGCAGCCCCCUGGGCCAACACUGACGCUCAUGCACGAAAGCGUGGGGAGCAAACAGGAUUAGAUACCCGCGUAGUCCCUGUCUCUUAUAC
rnacentral:rRNA from 1 species